rnacentral:rRNA from 1 species
ACCUUAAAUCAAGCCUAACAAUUACUGUACAUAAAACUAUUACAUUUCUACAACUAAAUAAAACAUUUUCUUACUUUUUAGUAGAGGUGAUCAAAAAAUUUCUAAGCGCUUUAUAUCAAGUACCGCAAGGGAAUGAUGAAAUAGCUAUGAAAUAGCCCCAAAGUACCAAACAGCAGAGAUUCCACUCGUACCUUUUGCAUCAUGGUUUAGCCAGUCCUAAUCAAGCAAAGCGAAACAUUAGUUUGAUAUCCCGAAACUAGGCGAGCUACUUCGAAACAGCUUAAUAGAGCCAACCCGUCUCUGUUGCAAAAGAGUGGGAUGAUUUCCAAGUAGAAGUGAAAAGCCUACCGAGCCUAGAGAUAGCUGGUUAUUCAAGAAAAGAAUUUUAGUUCUCCCUUAAGCUUUAAUAUGAAAUUAAACAACACAUCAAGCUUAAGAGUUAUUCAAUUAAGGCACAGCUUAUUUGAAAAAGAACACAGUCUUUAACCAAGGGUAAGUAACAAAAUUCAUGUCAAGUGGGCCUGAAAGCAGCCACCUUUAAGAAAGCGUUAAAGCUCCCCAUAAUCUUCACUAUUAAAUACCAAUGUUUACAUCGAACCCUUCAUCAAUACUGAAUGACCCUAUAAAUUAUAGGAGACAUAAUGCUAGAACUAGUAACAAGAAAUUGACUUUCUCCGAAAUGCAAGUGUACGCCAAAACGGACCCACCAUUGGCAUUUACCGUGUUUGACCCUAAUAUAGUAACGCCCCUAGAAAAACCUAUUGUUCUUCACGUUAACCUAACACAAGAGCAUUACCGGAAAGAUUAAAAGAGAAAGAAGGAACUCGGCAAAUCUAAGCCCCGCCUGUUUACCAAAAACAUCGCCUCUUGAUAAGAUAUAAGAGGUCCAGCCUGCCCAGUGACAUAGUUAAACGGCCGCGGUACCCUGACCGUGCGAAGGUAGCAUAAUCACUUGUUCCUUAAAUAGGGACUUGUAUGAAAGGCAUCACGAGGGCUUUACUGUCUCCUUUCUCCAAUCAGUGAAACUGAUCUCCCCGUGAAGAAGCGGGGAUACAAUUAUAAGACGAGAAGACCCCAUGGAGCUUUAAACCCAACGACACCCCUCAACCCCAUAAUCCUUUAUAGUUGCUACAGCCCUGUUCGUUGGUUUUAGGUUGGGGUGACCGCGGAGCAUAAAAUACCCUCCACGACGAAUGGGACUACCCCCUUACCCAAGAGCUACUCCUCUAAGGAUCAAUAAAUUGACGUAAAAUGAUCCAAGUAAUUGAUCAACGGACCAAGUUACCCUGGGGAUAACAGCGCAAUCCAUUUCAAGAGCCCCUAUCGACAAAUGGGUUUACGACCUCGAUGUUGGAUCAGGGUAUCCAAGUGGUGCAGCCGCU